AUGUUAAGAUCUGGUUUACAUAAAUUCAGUCUUUGUCGUUUCGAUUCGAUUCAGUCUUUUUUGUUUUCCCUUUUUAAUGAAAACACUAACCCUAGCUUUCAAAUUGGGGAUUCAGUACAGAAAAUCAAUAAUACAUCAAAUCUCAUUCAUAAACUUACCAGCUAUAUAGUAAUAAUAAUACAUCAAAUUUCAUUCAUGUUUUUCCAGAUACUUGUUUUUACAUUAUUCUUAUAG